AGGGGCGUGCUCUCUACUACAUAUCAAAGGCCUUUACAACUGCUGCCUCAAAGUCAGAGAAGAUAGGAUAUGUUAUUACUAUGUCACAACUAAUCUGUUACUGAGAGGUCACUUGGCAUUUAUGCAGCUAGCACCAGCCCCACCACCGCCACCAUUUCCAGAAGGCUACAUCCCCCUCACGAACACAGAAUCGGAAAAUGACCCUAAAACCCAGCAAACGGGGGAGGCACAACCACCUCCCAUUGACCCCAUGAUUGAUCAAGGCCUAGCUAAAAGAAUGAAAUUCUGAAUAAGAGGUGUCGCAUCAUAAGUUAUCUGUCCAGAAGUAUAUAUGUAAAGAUCUGAAGCUAAUUUAAUCACUACAACUUUAAAUAUCCGCUAACCCCUAGGCCUUUUUCAGUUGUGGUAAAUAUCUGAAGCUAAGCUAAGUUAAUCACUACAACUUCAUAUAUGUUGUGGUAGUUUUCACUUCAGUUGUUUUUCAGAGUGAGUACAAGGACAAGAAGAAGAAAUAUAUGAUGUUGGACAAUGAAUUUAGUGUUUUAUUUUAUUUGUAAUUUUUAUUAGAGUAAAUGAUUCUUUGUAAAUACUUUGUAUAAGUUUUGUUAUUUUAAUCUAUAAUUUUUUAGAUUUGUAUAUAAA